rnacentral:sRNA from 1 species
CAGCCCUAAAACUUCAAAGGUCAUGCCUAUCACCACAUGGUCCAUAGAAGUAUCAGUGCCAUUUAAAAUGCCAGAGACAGACAGGACAACCUCAGACCAGCCACAAGAUUACUUCUUAAAGGAAUGAAAACAGACAGUUUCCUUCCAAUUCUAAGGAUGUGGUACCACAGAUUGUCCCACCUACACGGCAGGCUUCAGGACUUGCUGAAGGGAGGAGUCAUAUAUCCAGCCCUUCCACAGCCCAACUUCAAAAGCUUACUUCCUUU